rnacentral:lncRNA from 1 species
UGGAGUAGUUGUACUCGGGCGCGCCGAAGAGGAAGCAGUCGGCCUGGCAGACCUUGGCGCGGAAGGCCUCGACUGCGGGCGGGAAGCCGCCGUCGGUCUCGAGGUCGGUGUUGAUGAUGGGGAGGUCGGAGAUGUCGAGCUGGUCGACGCGCAGCCCCGGGAUGGAGUCCUCGCACACCUCCGCGGCUGCCGGGUCGAUACGAAGAUGUGAGUUGGCACGAGGAGCUAGCGAAGCGAAGAGCAGCAGGCGGCGAAGGGAGGCGUACCGGCGCGGAGGAGGCCGCGGUUGAAGGAGGUCUUGCGGAGGGAGCCGCAGAUGGCGGCCACGCGGAGGACGGGCUUCGCCGCCGCAGCUUCCAUGGACUUGGGAGUUGGGAGUCGAGGAGUCGACGUCGAGUGUGCUCGGGGAUCGGGGAUCGUCCGGAUGGCUUGCGGGGAC